UGAAUCUGGAGUUUGGGAUGCAGAGACGAGAGAAAUGCAUUUUGUUACAUCAGGGCCAUCAGAGUGCACAGGGAGCUGCUGUGACAAUUCCACUUGUUCCAUUUCCAUUUCUACUUCUUCCCCUUCUUCUGUUUCUCCAUCGUCAUUCACAUCAUUUUAGUCUAGCAUUUCAAAUGGAUUCACGUUUUUAUCCCUUAAAUUGUUCAUGAUUGUCGUUGUUUGUUUGUUGCUGAUUGUUGUUGGUGUUCUUGUUGCCGUUGCUCUAAUGUGUGUUAUGGUGGGGGAGAGACACUGAAAUGAUUUGCUCUCCCCCCACAUCUCUCUCUCCUGGGUUGUGUUUUGUCAUAGCAAAAGGGGUUAUGAAUGAAUUAGAAAAGUGUUUGUUUUGUAAUUCCACUUUUGUUUUGUUGCAACCGAAGAAGAAGAACCUCGUCAACCGACCUCGUCUCAGACGAAGUAACACACAAACACAUUCAUCCGAGACAAUGUGCAAUCACUUUAAGAGAGAUUGACACAUGCAUAAAUAACCCGCUAGCAAUGAAAAUUCCAAUUAACUAAAUUUCGUCAGUCUUGUACUAGUUAUAAGCCGUACUAGUACCAAAUGUGUCCCCAAGUAAUGCGAAUGGAACCAAUUGACACCUUUUCGUCCCCAAGUAAACGAAGAGGCGACAGUUGUGCAUAAAUAAAAAACCACCACCAAAAAACCAACCAACAGACAAGUUAAACGAACAUUUGAAUGAGAUCUCUACGAACAAGAAUCACUUUGGAUAGUUUUUUGUUUAGAUGAUCAACAAAAAACAAUGAACAGUUAUUCUUGAGGAAUGCACGUGCGUUUUGUUUGGAAAAAAUCAUUCUUAUUUUGAUCGUUGUAAAGUGAAGUUGCAUUGUGAAAAUUGUGUUAAUAUAAAGUGAUUAAAAUAACAAAUAAAAAGUUUUUAUUUUAAAAUGGAAGAAACACCCAGAAAAAUUAAACGUUUCAGUUCAAUUAUAAACAAUGGUAAGUAAUUAAUAAUCUUAAAUAAUUUCCUAAUUAAUUCACUAUUAUUAUUUUUCUAUUUUGCAUAUGGUCUCAAUCAAAAGUGCAAUUGCGAAACUUUUGUUAAAAAGAUGGAAAAUGUGGAAAAUACUCAAAAAGUAAUUCAAGGUCAGAUCAAGGUUUUAGCUGAUGCAUUAGCUGAAUUGAAGGUGAUGGUGCAAAAAUUACUUCGAUCUCAAAGUGAUGAGAUACCUUUAACGAAUAGGUUUCCCAUCAGCACUGAGAAAGAUCUUAUUGAAAUUAAUAACGACAUCACAAGUGAGAAUAAAGAUCUAUAUGUUAAGAUUAUAUCAUCCAUCAUAAAAAGAGAGGGAAUAUUGAAAUCAUUAAAAAAUAUUAUAGGUUUAAAAAUUACUUACGAAUAUAAUAUUGACGGAAAUCAUGGAAAAAAAGUUUGAAGUCCCUAAGCAAUAUAUAUAACGUAAUUUUAGAUUCAAUACCAGUUCAAGAAAAUUCAGACACCCCUGAAACGCAACUGCGAAAAGCAAUACAUGUGCAAAAGAAACGAUUUUUUAAACAAGUGAGUGCUGAGAGAAAAG